rnacentral:rRNA from 1 species
CAGUAGCCGCGGGAAUACGUAGGUGGCAAGCGUUGUCCGGAAUUAUUGGGCGUAAAGGGCUCGCAGGCGGUUUCUUAAGUCUGAUGUGAAAGCCCCCGGCUCAACCGGGGAGGGUCAUUGGAAACUGGGAAACUUGAGUGCAGAAGAGGAGAGUGGAAUUCCACGUGUAGCGGUGAAAUGCGUAGAGAUGUGGAGGAACACCAGUGGCGAAGGCGACUCUCUGGUCUGUAACUGACGCUGAGGCACGAAAGCGUGGGGAGCAAACAGGAUUAGAUACCCCCGUAGUCCCUGUCUCUUAUAC